UUGCCUCAGGAAGCCGAGUUCAUGUGGAUCCCCCACCAUGGCUUGGGCCCCUCUGCUCCUCACGCUGCUCACUUACUGCGUUGGUUUCAGUUCCCAGCAGCUCCAGUCACUGAAGGCGUCUGAGUUAGUGUCUCCUGGAGGGACCAUGACCCUCUCUUGCAGCCUGAGCAGUGGGGCCCUCACUGAUAAUAAUUACCCGCUCUGGGUUCAACAGAAACUGGGGAAUGUUCCUCGGCUGAUCAUGUACAGCACGAGUACCAGGCCCUCGGGGAUCCCAGAGCGUUUCACUGGCUCCCGAUCGGGUAACACCAUGUCCUUGACCAUCACGGGGGCCCUGGCCGAGGAUGAUGCUGAUUAUUACUGUUCUGUGUGGACUGGGAGUGCUCAUCACAGCGGUUCCAGCUACCGGUUCACUUUGACUCAGCCACUCACUAUGUCAGUGACUCCAGGAGAAAGUGUCCAACUUGCAUGUGUUCUGAGCAGUGGAGACAGCAUCAGCAGUAGCUACAUACGCUGGUACCAGCAGAAGCAAGGAGAGAAACCAAGAUACCUGCUGUAUUACAAGGAUGACUCUACCCAGGUGAACAAGUCACCUCUUAACCUUCUCUUUGACAAGCUAAAUAGUGAGAUGGAAAGUAACUCAGCCGACAAUUAG